CACGUAGGGUGCGAGCGUUAAUCGGAAUUACUGGGCGUAAAGCGUGCGCAGGCGGUUUUGUAAGCCAGAUGUGAAAUCCCCGGGCUCAACCUGGGAAUGGCAUUUGGGACUGCAAGGCUGGAGUGCGGCAGAGGAGACUGGAAUUCCUGGUGUAGCAGUGAAAUGCGUAGAGAUCAGGAGGAAUACCGAUGGCGAAGGCAGGUCUCUGGGCUGAUACUGACGCUCAUGCACGAAAGCGUGGGGAGCAAACAGG
rnacentral:rRNA from 1 species